GACAGUCAAAAUUAUGUUAAUGAAGAUAAGAAAAGAGUAAGAAGCAUUGUAAAUGUUAAGAAAAAACUCAAAAGAAGGAAAAUACCUUACUUCCAUGUUGUAGGAUUCCUUGAAUGGAAUGAAAAAGCUGCUUGUGGGAAUAAUGAUUGCUUUAUCUUUAAUAUUUUCCACCUCCUCCUCUGUGGCUUUAGCGUCUCUUUGCUAUAACCCGCUUGAUUUUGAUUCCAGCCAUAUUCCAGCUGUAUUCCAGCCAUUUUCUGUGGACACGUGGCACCAGCAUAACCUGGACCGGAAAUCCUCUUGGAGCCAGUUCGGGGGAGUCCGUCGUUAAACGGGGCAUGUCAGGACGUGGUGGAGUGGUACACAAGGAUGACAUAUAGAAAAUCUAGAAACAUAAAGUGAUAUUUAUUGUAGAUACAUUUUUGUAUAAAUAUGUUGUAAA